GUGGUAGAAGUCUUCUCUUCCUGCCCAACAGAAGACAGCGGUGCGGAGCCUCGUACUGCCAUUAGCCAAGCAGGUGGAGCAGUUCUCUUCCUGUUGCUGAGCUCACCUUGGUGUUUGCAAGCCAGCUCCUCUGCUGCUCGGACACUCGAGUAUCUCUGAGCUGAGUGCUGGAAAUGAGGUGCCUGGAUGAAAUGUGGUUACCUUCCCAGAAGGCGAGGCUUAUCACCUCCAGGGCUGCUCUGCUUUCCACUGACUCAGAAGGAGAACAUUUUUCACUGCCUGUUCCAAACCAGCCGGGGAGGUGGAAGACAGCCUAUACAGUUUCAUCUAAUCUGAUGCUGGAACUCGGAGAGCAUUGCAUUGGUUAGCUGUGAUUCAGAACGUUAACCACUAAAUCAGUUAGAGGAAUUUAUAAUUCAUUUCAGCUAUUGCAGGAUUUAGUACAAUAAGAUCAUUAUUGCCUUGAGAUAUCCUUCAGGUCAUUAAUUUAAAUUAGAAAUGCCUUCAAACAGGAUAUCACGCACAGCUCCUUCCACGGAUUCUAGAGUUUAAGUUCAAUAAAUGCUUCCUGCCAGAUAUAUUGCUUCUGCCAAUGUGAGACGCUGCUUCCCAGUUGUGUAAUACCUGUUCACAGUUCUCAAAGGUGGCAUUGCGUAAGUGGCACGAGUCUUCUUAAUUAUGCUAAUUACCAUUGCUGCUUUGUAAAGGACAGAAUUCUUCUGUAAUUGAAUCACUCUCC